GACUUCACAGAACACAACGACGAAUUAUAUAGAAAUUCAACAACAAAAAAGUAAAGAAUACUUUGAUCGGGCAGUUCAAGAGGCCAUUAGAAAACAGAUGCCGGAUAUACUAAAGGAACUAAGGGAAGACUUACGUCGAGAGACGAUUGAGGUAAUUAGCAUUUAUAUAUAAAUCAAUAUUCAUAUUUUCUUUGUAAUUUCAAUUUUUUUUUACAUUAGGGUCAGUCGAGCCAAGAACACGACAACAUAAUCACGCCUACUACAGGAGAUUCAAAUGUCGAAAAUGUUGGCAAAAAAGCGACUAAAAGUCCGACUAAAAGUGGGACGAAUAGCGCGACUAAGAGCAUGACCGACACUAACAAAUAGGUUCCUCUUUAUUUAUCUUUUCGUUUAGUUUUGUUUUAAAUGACAUGAAUUGUAUGAAAAUUGGAAUGGUAUGGAAUUGAUGGUAUGUUUUGCAAUUGUAUAGAAUGGUUUAGAAUGGUUUAGAAUUCAUUCCUUUUCUUUUAUCUUUUGGAAUGGUAUAGAAUUGAAGAAUUGAAUGGAAUGUUUUGGAAUUGAUUGGUUCAUUGUUUUGCAUAAUUUUUAUGGAUA
rnacentral:lncRNA from 1 species